GUAGGUGGGCAAGCGUUGUCCCGGGAAUUAUUGGGCGUAAAGCGCGCGCAGGGCGGUUCUUUAAGUCUGAUGUGAAAGCCCACGGCUCAACCGUGGAGGGUCAUUGGAAACUGGAGAACUUGAGUACAGAAGAGGAAAGCGGAAUUCCACGUGUAGCGGUGAAAUGCGUAGAGAUGUGGAGGAACACCAGUGGCGAAGGCGGCUUUCUGGUCUGUAACUGACGCUGAGGCGCGAAAGCGUGGGGAGCAAACAGGAUUAGAUACCCUGGUAGUCCACGCCGUAAACGAUGAGUGCUAAGUGGUUUAGGGGGUUUCCCGCCCCUUAGUGCUGCAGCUAACGCAUUAAGCACUCCGCCGUGGGGAGUACGACCGCAAGGUU
rnacentral:rRNA from 1 species